AAUUAUAAAAAUUAUUUAGUUUUUCUGGUGUAUUUGAAUUUUAUUUUUAUAAAACUUUAUUAAAAUAGAAAUUAAAAUUUUAUAUUCUAAAUUUUAUUAUAAAAAAUAAAUAUUAUUUAAAUAUUCAUUAUAAAAAAUAAAAUUUUAAUUAUACCUAUUUAUAUUCCUCUUAUAAGUUAAAUUAUAAGUAUUAUUCAUAAAUAUUCAAUAAAAAAUAAAUUAUAUAAAAAUUAGUAAAAAAAUUUAAAUAUAUUUUAAAAUUAUUUUAAAACUAAAGAACUAAGUAUUAUAACUGACUGUUUUCUAAAAACAUUUUUUUAUUAAUUUAAAAUAUUUCUGCUCACUGUUUUUAUAAAUAGCAGUUUUAGCGUGAUUACUUAAAAGUAGCAAAAUCCAUAGAUCUUUAAAAGAGUUCUUGACUGAAAGAAAUAACUGUUAUAAUUUUUUUUAUUUUUAAUUAUUGAAAUUAUAUAAAUUUUGAAAAUAAAAUUUUUUAAUUUAUUACGAGAAGACCCUAAGAUUUAAAAAUAAAUUAUUAUAACUUAAAUUGGGUUUUUAAAUUAAUAAAUUUUUUAAAUUUUCAAUAUAUUUAAUUUAAAUACCUUAGGGAUAACAGCUUAAAAUCUCCUUUAUUUAAAGGGGUAAUAUGACCUCGAUGUUGACUUAAAAAAAUAAAUUUAAAAAAUUUUUAAUUUAAACUGUUCGUUUUUAAUUAUUUGUGAGCUGAGUUUAAAACACUGAAAAGUAGUUUGGUUUCUAUAAAAAUAGUAUUGAUUGUAAUUUUUUAGUACGAAAGGACUUAAAAUACUUUGUUUUAUAAUCUUAAAUUUAAAAUUUAA
rnacentral:rRNA from 1 species